rnacentral:rRNA from 1 species
UUGACCUCGGAUCAGGUAGGAAUACCCGCUGAACUUAAGCAUAUCAAUAAGCGGAGGAAAAGAAACCAACAGGGAUUGCCCCAGUAACGGCGAGUGAAGCGGCAGCAGCUCAAAUUUGAAAUCUGGCACCCGCCCGGGUGCCCGAGUUGUAAUUUGCAGAGGAUGCUUCUGGCGAGGCGCCUUCCGAGUUCCCUGGAACGGGACGCCAUAGAGGGUGAGAGCCCCGUCUGGUCGGACGCCGAGCCUCUGUGAAGCUCCUUCGACGAGUCGAGUAGUUUGGGAAUGCUGCUCUAAAUGGGAGGUAUAUGUCUUCUAAAGCUAAAUACCGGCCAGAGACCGAUAGCGCACAAGUAGAGUGAUCGAAAGAUGAAAAGCACUUUGAAAAGAGGGUUAAACAGUACGUGAAAUUGUUGAAAGGGAAGCGCUCGUGACCAGACUUGGGCCCGGCGGAUCAUCCAGCGUUCUCGCUGGUGCACUCCGCCGGGCACAGGCCAGCAUCAGUUCGCCCCGGGGGACAAAGGUUUCGGGAACGUGGCUCCCCCGGGAGUGUUAUAGCCCGCUGCACAAUACCCUGGGACGGACUGAGGACCGCGCAUCUCGCAAGGAUGCUGGCGUAAUGGUCAUCAGCGACCCGUCUUGAAACACGGACCAAGGAGUCGUCUUCGUAUGCGAGUGUUCGGGUGUGAAACCCCUACGCGUAAUGAAAGUGAACGCGGGUGAGAGCUUCGGCGCAUCAUCGACCGAUCCUGAUGUCCUCGGAUGGAUUUGAGUAGGAGCAUACGGGGCCGGACCCGAAAGAAGGUGAACUAUGCCUGUAUAGGGUGAAGCCAGAGGAAACUCUGGUGGAGGCUCGCAGCGGUUCUGACGUGCAAAUCGAUCGUCAAAUAUGGGCAUGGGGGCGAAAGACUAAUC